UACGGAGGGUGCAAGCGUUAUCCGGAUUCACUGGGUUUAAAGGGUGCGUAGGUGGGUAUGUAAGUCAGUGGUGAAAUCCCCGAGCUUAACUUGGGAACUGCCAUUGAUACUAUAUAUCUUGAAUACCGUAGAGGUAAGCGGAAUAUGUCAUGUAGCGGUGAAAUGCUUAGAUAUGACAUGGAACACCAAUUGCGAAGGCAGCUUACUAUGCGGUGAUUGACACUGAGGCACGAAAGCGUGGGUAGCAAACAGG
rnacentral:rRNA from 1 species